rnacentral:rRNA from 1 species
UGGGGAAUUUCGGACAAUGGGCGAAAGCCUGAUCCAGCAAUGCCGCGUGUGUGAAGAAGGCCUUCGGGUUGUAAAGCACUUUUGUCCGGAAAGAAAUCCUUGGCUCUAAUACAGUCGGGGGAUGACGGUACCGGAAGAAUAAGCACCGGCUAACUACGUGCCAGCAGCCGCGGUAAUACGUAGGGUGCAAGCGUUAAUCGGAAUUACUGGGCGUAAAGCGUGCGCAGGCGGUUUGCUAAGACCGAUGUGAAAUCCCCGGGCUCAACCUGGGAACUGCAUUGGUGACUGGCAGGCUAGAGUAUGGCAGAGGGGGGUAGAAUUCCACGUGUAGCAGUGAAAUGCGUAGAGAUGUGGAGGAAUACCGAUGGCGAAGGCAGCCCCCUGGGCCAAAUACUGACGCUCAUGCACGAAAAGCGUGGGGGAGCAAAACAGGAUUAGAUACCCUGGUAGUCCACGCCCUAAACGAUGUCAACUAGUUGUUGGGGAUUCAUUUCCUUAGUAACGUAGCUAACGCGUGAAGUUGACCGCCUGGGGAGUACGGUCGCAAGAUUAAAACUUAAAUGAAUUGACGGGGUCAUAGCUGUUUCCU